UAUCUAAUCAGGAAGACAAGACAGGCAUUUAUGAAAAAAUAUCAGAGGCUAGUCCCCGAGAAAAGGGCAAUACAGCUAAGAGGGUAGUAAGUACUAAGAAGGUAGGUAAGUGCUAAGAGGGUAGGUAAGUACUAAGAAGGUAGGUAAGUACUAAGAGGAUAAGUAAGUGCUAAGAGGGUAGGUAAGUGUUAUGAGGUUAGGUAAGUGUUAAGAGGGUAGGUAAGUGUUAAGAGGGUAGGUAAGCUAUUUUUGUUCUGUUCUUUCCUAGUUAUGUGACGGUGGGCAAGAUGCUUACCCUACUGGAACCUCGAUUUUCUCAUACUAAAUUGUACAGAUAUAUAAUGAUAGUUGUAUCUACUUCACUAGUUGUUAUGAGAAUUAGAAAUGGUAACACAGCCCAGCAUUGUGGUGCAGUGGGUAAAGCCACUGCUCAUAGUGCUGGCAUUCCAUAUGGCUGCCAGUUUGACUCCCUGCAGCUCCACUUCUGAUCCAGCUUCCUGCUAACAGCCUGGGAAAAGCACUAGGAGAUGAUCCACGUAUAGGAGACCCAGAAGAAGCUCCUGGCUCCAGCUUCAGCCUAGGCCAGUGCUGGCCUUGCAGCCAGCUGGGGUGUGAUCCAGGAGAUGUAAAAGUGUUCUCUUUGUCUCUCCCUCUCUCUAACUCUCUACUCUGCCUACAAAUAAAUAAAUAAA